AAUCUUUCCAUCCACAUGUAAUUUGUUCUAAUUAUCAGUUGUUAGUGAAUUUUUUUUGUGUAGCUCAUUUAAACAUUGCCGGACACAAUUUCGGGCUACCCUAAAUCCCUUUCUACAUACCAGUAUUGUUCAAGGUUCAUAUUUUAUUACACCCUUACUGCGAGUUCUAGAAAUUCUGCAAGAACCCUACCCUGCUGUUCACUUUAUAAUUAGUACUGUACAUUGCUUUCAUGAACAUGCCAUAAAAGUGAGUUUAUUUUAUGUCUCUAUACAAACAGGUGCCUGUACAUGUAAUGUAUUUCAUGCAAAUGAACGGUAGAAUGAGAAGCUCACGAUGAUAUGGUAGACAAGGACCUUGCUGUCCAAAGCUUGGAGGCCAGAUGACAGUGUCUGAACCGGCUUGUCAGAAUUGCGUACAAGGAUGCCAUUGGACUUUGCUGUACUUGGAGCUGAAGGGGAGCAGUCACCAAAAGGAGCGUGCAACUCGAAAACAAUGUGGAUACCUCUACCGAGUUCAUCUCAAAUAACAUGGCUCUUCAAGAAUCAAGGUGUGAUAUUGGAUGUACAUGUAGAGGGGUUUGUGACCCUCCUGACUGUGGACUACUUGCAAUACACAUAAACUCAAUCAAUGGAUUGUAGAGGAGUAAUGGUGGGUCCGGUGAGCUCAACUUUGGAGGUUACUUUCGCAAAAUUAAUAAAGUUCCUUUUAAUUUGGGUGUAUAUGGUUCCAGGGAUUAAUUUGACGCAAUGCCUUGUAGUGACACGCCCAUUUAAGGGACAACACGUCUCAGAAAGUAUAAAAUGGGAAGCAGUUUCUGAAGUGGCGCGAGCUUUUAUUUUUCGGGUGACUUCCUCAUUUUGUUUCAUACUCCAUUUCCUUUGCGGCCAUGAAGUGCUAAAGUUUUAGCGGAGUUUGGGGCAUCCAGCCCAUAGAUAUGACUUUUCGUGAUUAUAUGUAAUAAAUUGUAAUAAAGUUACUAUCCACUUCAACACUUGACUCUUGUCGAGAAUUUUA